GUAUUUUUCAUGAAAAUGAACUAGUUAUGAGUAAAUAAUUUGUUUAUAAUUUUUGCACAUUUUCUUUUUUUUGGUAAGUUGCCUUUCUAUAUCUAAGAUGUGACGCUCCUAAAAUAGGUCCACACAACUCAUUCUGAGUCGCCAAAUACAUGAUACAAAAUUCAAAUACAAACUUCAUUUAUACAACUAUUAAUUAUCGUGUAAAAUACGACAAAACAUAAGCUGUGAGUUUCAAUACAAAUAUUAUCUUGUAGACAAUAUCCAAACUCAAAUAAAGUCUUCAUUACAAU
rnacentral:lncRNA from 1 species